rnacentral:misc_RNA from 1 species
GAUGAAGAACGCAGCGAAAUGCGAUAAGUAAUGCGAAUUGCAGAAUUCAGUGAGUCAUCGAAUCUUUGAACGCACAUUGCGCCCUGUGGUAUUCCGCAGGGCAUGCCUGUUCGAGCGUCAUUUCAACCCUCAAGCCCCGCUUGGUGUUGGGCCCCGCCCGCUGUGGCCGGCCCUAAAGACAGUGGCGGCGCCGCCUGGCCCUCAGCGUAGUACAUCUCUCGCUCCAGGGUCCGGUGGCCGCCUGCCAGAACCCCCCAACUCUGUGGUUGACCUCGGAUCAGGUAGGGAUACCCGCUGAACUCAAGCAUAUCAAUAAGCGGAGGA